CAAAAAUAAUCUUUUUCUUUUUUUUUUUAAAUCCUGUAAAAUUCUGUUUAGUUUGAGUUAUAAAACAGUUAAAACAGAUUUUCCCUUUAUUACCUGUUUUCUUACUUUUUAAGGAACUUACAAAAAAACCACUCGAUUGUGGAUGCUCCAUACCACCAUCAAAGCGUUGGGCCAAGUCUGAGACCAGACAGCGUGUCCUACUGCUGGCUGCUCAUGCUUUUGCCUACUUUUGUAUUUGGCUCUGGCUUGAAGCUUAGGCUUCAGCCCAGCAAAACCGACUAGCUCAGCACUAUUCUGUCCAAAGGCAGCUGGGAGCAGCAGGCUGGCCAAGAAAUGGCGGUUCUCCACAGUUAUCCUGUCUCAGCCAAAAACAUCUCUAGAUUGCAAAUUGUCCAGCUCUGCUCCAGUAGUGAUGGGGGCUAUAUUGUUUGCAGAUAAUAAUAAUAUCACCCCGGGCGGAGGCACCGGCAGUCCCUGCCUCCCAGCUGGUCUCGGCGCUGCAGUCAGGCUGCUCGUCUUCACCCCGAUGGCAUGAAGCAGUUGAAAACUGGUGGAGACAAGUCGGCUGUGGGGACCGACCAUGCCUGCCUCAUGCAGGCAGAAAAUACCUUCCAUUUCCCCGUUAGCCUCUGGGGCACGGCUGCAGCAAGACAAAGGAAAAGCACACUCAGCCUUUGGUGGUCUCAGCAAGUGGACAACAACUAGUGCCUCUUUCUCUCAGAAACAGAACAAAGGAGGAACACGCGUAAAAAUCGGGUUAAUCCUGGACUAACGUGCUCGUGGAGGUGGCAGGUGCCUAUCCUGGAGCAGCAGAGCACUACGGUCCUACGAGGGGCUGGCGUGAGCCAUUUCUGCGCUUGAGCAGACCAGCUGCUCCGCUUCUUUCACACCGUCCCCUCACAGGGUUAUUUUUUUGGAGUUCUGCACUUCAGGGCUUCCAGCCAGUUCCGUGUCCAUGGCUGAGAACUGCAGUGGUUUGCAGAUACCAGAGAAAGCAUUGAGUUUAACAUGCUGAUGAAGGCCUGCAGAGAAGGCGGCGAUGCCAAUAUAUUGGCCUUGGAGAGAAGCGGACUUUGAAGGAAUGUGAAAUGAGCAAAGAGAAACUUGGCUGAAAUUCAACAAUGCAUAGAGGAAGUGGCAAAGGACUAAAAUUUUCAGAUAUCAACACAAGGCCACAAUUAAAUUUCAGGCUACCAAAACUAAAUAAAAAAAAAAAAGCUCAGAACCAGAUUGCAGAAUCC